UCUCCAGGGUCAUCAAUCCUCAAUGUUUUCGGAAUCCAAAGGCAUCUUUCAGCAUUACUUUCUUUAACUGGUUCUUCUCCAGAGUUGUUUGUUUUCUGCAUGUUCUCAUCCCUUGAAUGUUUUCCCAAGGUUGGAGAAUUAGGGCCAGAGCUGAGGGCAGUUUGGUUUGGACGAGAUGGAUGAGGAAUCCAAGGCAUGUUCCAAGUGCCUGGAACAGUGCAACCCCAAUAAGCUGCUGUAGGAUAGAA
rnacentral:misc_RNA from 1 species